GACGUCGAGGGCAGAUUUUGAAACUUCACAUCUGUAAGAAGAGUCUACUUUGGGGCCCCGGGCUGACGUGACCAACCCCAGCUGGAAGCCUACCAAGAGGGAGGACGCUGUGCGCGUGUGCACCCGCCGCAGUGAAGAAACUCUGACCAGUUGCUUGAAGCCACGGACAUCAUCCAGGACAGAGACUUUUGCCUUUGAACUGAACUGUUGCCUGCCGGUCUCCUUCACUUCUCCCCAAAAAGACUCUGUUUCCCAAAGGAAUCCUCAACUCCAUCGUUCUCUAACAGCGAUCAGCUCACUGAAUUCUGUGUUGUGUAACUGUUGUUGUGUGCCUUCUUUA